GAUGAACGCUGACAGAAUGCUUAACACAUGCAAGUCUUUGGCGAAGCUGUGCUUGCACAGCCUAGCCAAGGCGGACGGGUGAGUAACGCGUAAGGAACUUGCCCUGCAGUCAGGGAUAACAGACGGAAACGACUGAUAAGACCUGGUAAAGUCAGGCGGACUCAUGUCCAGCCUGAUGAAAAGAGAUGCUGCAGGAGAGCCUUGCGUCCUAUUAGCUUGUUGGUGGGGUAACGGCCCACCAAGGCGAUGAUAGGUAGCCGGCCUGAGAGGGUGGACGACCACAAGGGGACUGAGAUACGGCCCUUACUCCUACGGGAGGCAGCAGUGGGGAAUAUUGGACAAUGGGGGCAACCCUGAUCCAGCAAUUCUGUGUGCACGAUGAAGGUUUUCGGAUUGUAAAGUGCUUUCAGCAGGGAAGAAAAAAAUGACGGUACCUGCAGAAGAAGCGACGGCUAAAUACGUG
rnacentral:rRNA from 1 species